rnacentral:rRNA from 1 species
AUUGAACGCUGGCGGAAUGCUUUACACAUGCAAGUCGAGCGGCAGCACGGGGGCAACCCUGGUGGCGAGCGGCGAACGGGUGAGUAAUACAUCGGAACAUGCCCAGUCGUGGGGGAUAACACUUCGAAAGAAGUGCUAAUACCGCAUACGUCCUGAGGGAGAAAGCGGGGGAUCGCAAGACCUCGCGCGAUUGGAGUGGCCGAUGUCAGAUUAGCUAGUUGGUGGGGUAAAGGCCUACCAAGGCAACGAUCUGUAGCUGGUCUGAGAGGAUGAUCAGCCACACUGGGACUGAGACACGGCCCAGACUCCUACGGGAGGCAGCAGUGGGGAAUUUUGGACAAUGGGGGCAACCCUGAUCCAGCCAUUCCGCGUGAGUGAA